ACUGAUAUGGUGAAAUGGUAUCAUGCUUGCCUUCCGCUACGUCAUAGCAAGCGGCCGGGGUUCGAUUCCCCGUGUGCGUA